GCCAGUGUGGCAUAAUGGUUUGAGUGCUGGACUACGACUCGAGACCAGGGUUCAAUUCCCAGCUCAGCCA
rnacentral:tRNA from 1 species